UGGUAGAUGCACCCUGAUAACUUUACUCCCCGGUUGGUUCACUCUGGCUGGGGAUUCUUUUG
rnacentral:sRNA from 1 species